AGACAUUAAUCUUAAGUAUCCAGGGAGCCCUAAAACAUUGUAUCCCACUAGCAAGGACCAUGGUAAUUGCCACGUAAAUCCCCUCCAUUAUGUGGCCCUUAUUAUGACCAGCCAGCCAAGGCUUGCCUUUAAAUCAUACCAAUUGAACCGAGCCUUGUAGAAACACUAUCACCUACGCAUACCUCUGCUUCUUUUCAUUAACCUGCUAUCCUCUUUACAAAUGGGAUUCUUCACCCACUCCCUUCUUCUAGAUUAGCAAUGCCCUGUUAAGUAAACGAACACGAAAUUCAAAGGGAAACAGGAGCAAUCAUCAUUACCAGCUGCCGUGUUAAGCAUUGCGAAAACGCUCACGAUUCACAGAAAAAUCCAUGCUGUUCUUUGAAGGCAUUCAAGCCUUAAUAGCUAGCUGGAUGAAUGUUUAACUUCUAGGCCAGGCACUACUCUGUCCCAACAAUAAGCCCUGUACAUUGGGAAAGGUGCCGAGACAUGAACUUUGGUCUUCUCUGCAAUCCAUCUGGAGCAUUCACUGACAACAUCGACUUUGAAGUUGCACUGACCUGGCCAGCCCUGCCACUUACCAGGUUGGCAUCUGGCAUCUUUCUUGACAUAUGUAGCAGUUGCUUUUUGACAGCUUGCUUCUUCAGUGAAUGAAUAAAUUAAUAAAGAGAAAUGUGAUGUUCAGUGAUCCAUUUUGCAGAUAACACUAACAAAGUUGACCUUAGAAUUGGAGUGCCUGGGUUAGAACCCUGCUGGUACCACCUGCUUACUGCAUGCUUCUGAUGUGAGUUCAGGAGAAGACACUGGCAAGGACAGCAAAGAACAGGAGAACACUCUAGCUUCCCUGAUAGCAUUCAAGGUGCUGUCCAAAGUGACUGACUGUGAUGGCACCCUCCAGACAGACAGCGAUGCCACAUGUUCAAGAUGGCAGAAUCACUAUCAGCUUCAAUUCCUGAAUGACUGCAGAGCAAAAUUUCUUACCUGCAACAUACACUCUAUUUUCAGCCUCCCUGGACUGUUACAUAAUGAUACAUAAAAAUAUUUCUUGUGUUGAGGCAUCCCAAAUUUGAUUUAUUUGUCAUCACAGUCUAUCCUAUGAAUAUAUUUCUGAUCCAAAUAAUGCUAGAUUCAUGAGAGUUUAUAGUCCAGAGAUUUUUUUUUUUUUUUUGAGACAGAAUCUGUCUCCCAGGCUGGGGUGCAGUGGCAUAAUCUUAGCUCACUGCAACCUCUGCCUCCCGGGCUCAAGUGAUCCUCCCUCCUUAGCCUCCAUGAGUAGCUGGGACCACAGGUGUGCACCACCACACCCCGCUAAUUAUUUUGUAUUUUUUGCAGAGGGGGGUUUCACCACAUUGCCCAAGCUGGUCUCAAACUCCUAGACUUAAGGGAUCUGCCUGCCUUGGCCUCCCAAAAUGCUGAAAUUACACUUGUUAGCCAUAGUAAUAGUUCCUAGCCAUAGUCCGGAGAUAUUUUAAAAACUUUAGUGUGAGUUAUUUCUCUUUGCUAUAAUUCUCUCAUGCAUUUUGAAAACCUUUUCUGCCAUACAGUGGUUUUUGGGAAGUCCUUUUGGACAGACAUAUCACAGGAUGGAGAAACUAAAAAGAGAGAAUGCAUUAAAGAAAAAAUAGUACUUCGUAUUUCAGAAAUUACAAAAGGGUGUCAUGCCCCACAGCAUGGUGGGCAGUCAUUUGUAACCCACAGAACAUUGAGUUUCUAAAAUUUGAGUGUUUUUAACUUACGAAGGCCAACUUUACUGAUGAAGUGAUUACCCCAAAUAUGUGAAAUCCAUAUUUCAAGUACAAUAGUAGGAAAUUGGAAAUGGGCUCUUGAGUUUCUGCUUUCAAGUGACCCUCAGAAAUUCCUCCAUUCACUGCAGAGGUUCUGUUUCUCCUUGCUUUGUUCUGACUUUACGGCAGAACUAAGCUAAUGAGUUAGUUACUAUGGGUUAUCACUUGGAUUUGAAGAACCAUCAUUUCUAGGCAUUGCUGCUCAGAGUGACCUUGCCAUCGUAUCCCCUUUUGGAGACACAAGCCAGGAAGGAAGCUCUUCAGUGCAGCUGUGAAUAGAGAAAUGCUGGCUGAGGUUUUGGAGACACUGGGUGAUCAUUCCCAGUGAAAUUUUUAGAUCCCUGGGGACAUGAGCUGCUUUGUCUUUUCCAAGGCUGAAAAAGUUUUGGAAGCCCUCCUAAGCAGGUGCCAGACCCUUUUUUGGCCAGAGACAGGAUCUUACGCUGUUGCCCAGGCUGGAGUGCAAUAGUGUCAUCAUGGCUCACUGUAGCCUGGAACUGCUGGGCUCAAGGGAUCCUCCCAGCUCAGCCUCCCAAGUAGCUAGGAGUAAAGUCUGGAGAACACUUUUUCUUUUGAGCUGUUUACAACCUUUAGCAAUUGAGUAGAGUGUACUCUUGUCAAUAGAAUUUGAAGCACAUUUCUCUCUCUGCCUGAUUUCUGUAGAAUUUGUAAACUAUUUGUGAAUAUUCUUAAUUUAUGGCAAUAUGGUUGCUUACAUAAGUUCAAUAAUAAUCUGUUUUCUUUUACAAUGAGACACAGUUGGAGGAACUGGUUAUUUUCCCAGGGCUUUGACUGAAAUGGCCUUGUGAAUGGUUCCAGGAAAGCCAAUUUUGGAGACCCUAUGUGGAUGAUGAUGCUUGCUGUACUUUCUGUGGGUAAUCGGGCCAAGUAUAUGGGACUGAAGCUAAUUUUGCAGGUGAGAAAAUGGAGGUCCAGAGAGAAAAGUGACUCACCCAAGCUGAAAACAGUUGCAGGAAGAAAAGCCAGGACAGAACUGGGCUGUUAGAAACCUUGGAGUACACUAAAGAUGAGGAACUGAGUCACCGCAAUGCCAAAUGUAACACGCUGUGGGUCAAAAUUUGGAUGGUUGCGUUGGAAAUUAUUCUGAAGCCACAGACAGGGCUAAAAGGAUGAUUCACAAAGUGUUCAUAGCAGGGAAGCUGAUGGAAAAGUGACAUGCCCCUAGACUUGAGAGAUGCUCUCUAAGUUUAAAAAGGAAACAGCUUAUUGUAAAAUUUAUUUGAAUCCUACAACCUUCCCAUAUCUGUGUAAUUAGCAAAAAGACAAGCUGCAACCAGAGAGG
rnacentral:lncRNA from 1 species